CAAAGCCAUCUGGUCCAGGGCUUUUCCUUGAUGUUGGUUUUUAUUACUGACUAAUCUUCUUACCCAUUUUGGUCAGUUCAAAUUUGUUCAGGAUUCAGUUUGCCUUCUCAAUAUCAAGACAAGGAGAAUGAAGACCUCUAGGAAGCUCCCGUUCCGCUUAAUGAAUACUGGGACAUCUGUUGUCAUUUGAAAACUGUCCAGUAUGAAUAUCUGAAGCAGAUGGGAACAGCAUGGAAGAUGUCAGAUUUACUUGUGGUUGACAAACCACAUUCGAAUACCUAUCGCUUGUCUGUCAGUCAUUCUUUCAAGUACAAAUGGUGUUCCAUGAAGAACAGCAGCCAGCACAGCUUGCGGCUCAAUCUCACAAGGGCUUUUUCUCAGGAACGUCGUUGUCCUUGAUACGCAGCGGAAGUACCUAGUGUGCACGUCCCAUUUCACCCUACAGAAUAUUUUAAAAGCAUGAACUCCAGAUUACAUAAAAGUCAUAAUUUUAGGCUACUUUUUUCAGGACAUUCUUACAUGAAACGGGCUGCGUUUUCUGUUGGUUUGUUUUGUUUCGUUUUCCUUUAUGCAGUGUGUACGGAAGAAUAUAAUGGUCCCGUGCACAGUUGAAUACGUCUGUCUUGAUUGGUGUUCAUGCCCCUGAAAUUCUAACCGCCACUAUUUUUGAACCAUCAGUGCAAGUCCCAACACAGCAGAAGAGCAAAUAAUGCCCCGUUUUGAUCUUGCAGAUCCGCUGACUAGGUCUUGAAUACCAUCCUUUGGAACAACUAUUUUAAAUAAAAUUAUAAAAUAGAAGAAAAGAAACAGGAAAA